rnacentral:tRNA from 1 species
GGGCUCGUAGCGUAGUCAGGAUAUCGCGGUGGCCUCCGGAGCCGCAGAUCCUGGGUUCGAAUCCCAGCGAGCCCG